rnacentral:rRNA from 1 species
GACAGAGGUGGCUAGCGUUGUUCGGUGUCACUGGGCUUAAAGAGUGUGUAGGCGGGAAAGCAAGCGUUUUGUGAAAGCCCCCGGCUUAACCGGGGAACUGCUUGACGAACUGCUUUUCUUGAGGCAGGCAGGGGUGCGCGGAACUCUUGGUGGAGCGGUGAAAUGCGUAGAUAUCAAGAGGAACGCCGGUGGAGAAAUCGGUGCACUGGGCCUGUCCUGACGCUGAGACACGAAAGCGUGGGUAGCGAACGGGAUUAGAUACCCCGGUAGUCCACGCCGUAAACGAUGUCUACUAGGUUGUGGAGGUUCUGACGCCGUCACGGCCGAAGCAAAAGUGCUAAGUAGACCGCCUGGGGAGUACGGCCGCAAGGCUAAAACUCAAAGGAAUUGACGGGGGCUCACACAAGCGGUGGAGCAUGUGGAUUAAUUCGAAGCAACGCGCAGAACCUUACCUGGGUUUGACAUGCUUGGAUGGCUUCCUGGAAACAGGUUAGUCUGCCCUUCGGGGUGAAACUUGCACAGGUGCUGCAUGGCUGUCGUCAGCUCGUGUUGUGAAAUGUCGGGUUAAGUCCCUUAACGAGCGAAACCCUUGCCGUUAGUUGCCAUCGGGUCAUGCCGGGGACUCUAACGGGACUGCCGGUGUUAAACCGGAGGAAGGUGGGGAUGACGUCAAGUCAUCAUGGCCUUUAUGCCCAGGGCCUCACACGUGCUACAAUGGCGGCCACAAAGCGACGCAAGACCGCGAGGUGGAGCAAAUCGCAAAAAGGUCGCCCCAGUUCGGAUUGUAGGCUGGCAAUUCGCCUGCAUGAAGUCGGAAUCGCUAGUAAUCGCGUAUCAGCGAUGACGCGGUGAAUGUGUUCCUGAGCCU